rnacentral:rRNA from 1 species
UAGGGAAUUUUCGUCAAUGGGCGCAAGCCUGAACGAGCGAUGCCGCGUGAGUGAAGAAGGCCUUCGGGUCGGUAAAGCUCUGUUGCGGGGGAAAAAAGGACAGCAUCAGGAAAUGGGUGCUGACUGAUGGUGCCCCGCCAGAAAGUCAUGGCUAACUACGUGCC